CCCAGACUCCUACGGGAGGCAGCAGUGGGGAAUAUUGGGCAAUGGGCGCAAGCCUGACCCAGCAACGCCGCGUGAAGGAAGAAGGUUUUCGGGUUGUAAACUUCUUUUGUCAGGGACGAAGCAAGUGACGGUACCUGACGAAUAAGCCACGGCUAACUACGUGCCAGCAGCCGCGGUAAUACGUAGGUGGCAAGCGUUAUCCGGAUUUACUGGGUGUAAAGGGCGUGUAGGCGGGGAAGCAAGUCAGGUGUGAAAACCACGGGCUCAACCUGUGGCCUGCAUUUGAAACUGUUUUUCUUGAGUACUGGAGAGGCAGACGGAAUUCCUAGUGUAGCGGUGAAAUGCGUAGAUAUUAGGAGGAACACCAGUGGCGAAGGCGGUCUGCUGGACAGCAACUGACGCUGAGGCGCGAAAGCGUGGGGAGCAAACAGGAUUAGAUACCCUGGUAC
rnacentral:rRNA from 1 species